AGCAGCCGCGGUAAUUCCGGCUCCAAUAGCGUAUAUUAAAGUUGUUGCAGUUAAAAAGCUCGUAGUUGAAUUUCGGGGUUAGUAGGUUGGUCAUGCCUCUGGUAUGUACUGGUCUCACUGAUUCCUCCUUCCUGAUGAACCUUAAUGCCAUUAAUUUGGUGUUUUGGGGAAUUUGGACUGUUACUUUGAAAAAAUUAGAGUGUUUAAAGCAAGCUAACGCUUGAAUACAUUAGCAUGGAAUAAUGAAAUAGGACGUUCGAUCCUAUUUUGUUGGUUUCUAGGAUUGACGUAAUGAUUAAUAGGGAUAGUUGGGGGCAUUAGUAUUCAAUUGUCAGAGGUGAAAUUCUUGGAUUUAUUGAAGACUAACUACUGCGAAAGCAUUUGCCAAGGAUGUUUUCAUUAAUCAAAGAACGAAAGUUAGGGGAUCGAAGACGAUCAGAUACCGUCGUAGUCUUAACCAUAAACUAUGCCGACUAGGGAUCGGAUGAUGUUUAAAUUUUUUAAUGACUCAUUCGGCGCC
rnacentral:misc_RNA from 1 species